GGCAGAGGCCCUAUUAUACCAGAAACAGAAAAGGGGCAGAGGCCCCAUUAUACCAGAAACAGAAAUAUUGCACAGCAAUUGAUAAAGGUCAAUCCUUCAGUAGAGAAAGACAGUCAAUCCAACACAAUACUCACAAACAGCCAUAUAAAGAUUCUCAGAAAUGACAGAAACUGGCAGAUGACCACAGUGUUAUAGGGAGGUAUAGAAAAUAAAAAGAUGGUUUGACUUUGUUUGUGACAACAGAAAAAUAAGUCCAUAACAGGUAAUACCCACACACAUUCUAAAGAGAAUAUAGGAUGUCAUAUCAGCUUUUAGUAAGUGAGAUUAAUGCUCAGCAUUCACCACCUCAGGUACCUGCUCUAAACAUAAUGUCUCCCCAGCCUGGGAUGCUAUGAUACAGAGAUGCAGGGACACAAAUGGCCAGUGGUUAGUGAUAUUCACUGUAUCCAUGUCUGUAAUGUUCUAAUAAUAUUAUGAUUAUGACUACAUGAAAUACUAGAAAUGUUCUACUAUAUUGUAUUAUGAUAUCAGCAGCUCACCAGAAAGAAUAGUCCACCCUAUUACAUCUGCUGAAAAAUUAACUGAACUUUGCAUGCCUUGUGCAAUUGCUCUUAGCUAUAUGGGAGUCUCUGGAGAUGAUAGUAGAUGUUGCAUUGGACCUUUAGUUUGUAAGAUAUUAAAUAAUGUCAGUCCUGUUUUAUUUACACAUAAAGCAAUGGUGUUGAACCUUCUGGUCCCAUGGGCUUGUGUGGCAGAAGGCCACCUUUGUUUCUCCCCAAAAACACUGUUCUGUGACAAUUUGAUUAGAAUGGGCCCAAAAGAGGAGACACGCCUUUACCCUAUCUCUUUAGGUAACCUGAGCUGGAUACAUUCCUGAGGGAGGGGGGAAACCUGCUCCCUCUGCCUACGUGACUAGUAUCACAUACCUGGGUGAGAGGCUUCCUCCCUGGUGGGCUAGAGUCUGCCCGGCAACUAGUGAUGUAUUUCAAAUUGGUUUGCUGACAGCCAACAGGUGCUGGCCUCCAUUGGACCAGGUAAAUGAGGUCACAAGGGCUAUAUAAGUUAAGGACUGCCCAGGAGGAGGGGGCAGCAGCCAUGAGGGAGACUCAGAGAGAGAGAAGAACUGGACCAUCUGAAACUUGCUCUCUCUCUCAAAACUCAUGAUCAAUUAACUGCUUGCCUCCAGAGGGAAUCUCCAACUGCCUCUGAAUGAGACUUGAGGAAGCAACCAUGACCACCUGAAACCUGAGAUCCUGCUCCUGCCUUUGUUUCAAGGUAAUUUGCAUCAUCACAGAUCCUCACAGAUCGUGAGAGGCUCCAUACCAGCUAUGAACUGACUGCCCAGAAAAGUUUUCCAUCUAUUGACUUCUCUGUGAAAUCCUAUGAAAUAUGAACUUUCAUUUCUACCCAGGAGAACUUUUACAAUCUUUUCUCCAAUGCCUGAUGAAGGGGGUUUGUGCCCGAAAGCUUGCAAUUAAAGAAUUUUUUUCCAAAAAUCUUGUUGGUCUAAUAAAAGAUAUCAGCUCUA